UACGUAGGGGGCAAGCGUUGUCCGGAUUUAUUGGGCGUAAAGAGCGUGUAGGCGGCCAAGCAGGUCCGCUGUGAAAACUCGAGGCUCAACCUCGAGACGUCGGUGGAAACCGUUUGGCUAGAGUCCGGAAGAGGAGAGUGGAAUUCCCGGUGCAGCGGUGAAAUGCGCAGAUAUCGGGAAGAACACCCGUGGCGAAGGCGGCGCUCUGGGACGGUACUGACGCUGAGACGCGAAAGCGUGGGGAGCGAACAGG
rnacentral:rRNA from 1 species